UACGGAGGGUGCGAGCGUUGUUCGGAAUUACUGGGCGUAAAGGGCGCGCAGGCGGCUCCUUAAGUCAGGCGUGAAAGCCCGGGGCUAAACCCCGGAAGGGCGUCUGAAACUAGGGAGCUUGAGUACGGGAGAGGGAAGUGGAAUUCCUGGUGUAGAGGUGAAAUUCGUAGAUAUCAGGAGGAACACCGGUGGCGAAGGCGACUUCCUGGACCGAUACUGACGCUGAGGCGCGAAAGCGUGGGGAGCGAACAGG
rnacentral:rRNA from 1 species